GUGUACGCGGGUGGAGGAGCGCGGGUGAGACAGAGGGGGUGAGGGGUAAUCGGGAUUACGGGGCUGAAAGCGUGCGUAGGCGUGGGCGUAGGUCGGGUGUUAAAGCCCCGGGCUCAACCUGGGAAUUGCAUUCGAGACUGGGUCGCUAGGGUGCGGAAGAGGGAAGCGGAAGUUCCGGUGUAGCGGUGAAAUGCGUAGAUAUCGGAAGGAACAUCAGUGGCGAAAGCGGCUUCCUGGUCCAGCACCGACGUUCAGGCACGAAAGCGUGGGGAGCAAACAGGAUUAGAUACCCUAGUAGUC
rnacentral:rRNA from 1 species